UCCUACGGGAGGCAGCAGUGGGGAAUCUUGGACAAUGGGCGCAAGCCUGAUCCAGCCAUGCCGCGUGAGUGAAGAAGGCCUUCGGGUUGUAAAGCUCUUUUGUCAGGGACGAUAAUGACGGUACCUGAAGAAUAAGCCCCGGCAAACUUCGUGCCAGCAGCCGCGGUAAUACGAAGGGGGCUAGCGUUGUUCGGAAUUACUGGGCGUAAAGCGCACGUAGGCGGCUUGUUAAGUCAGGGGUGAAAUCCCGGAGCUCAACUCCGGAACUGCCUUUGAUACUGGCAAGCUAGAGUUCGGAAGAGGUUAGUGGAAUUCCCAGUGUAGAGGUGAAAUUCGUAGAUAUUGGGAAGAACACCAGUGGCGAAGGCGGCUAACUGGUCCGAUACUGACGCUGAGGUGCGAAAGCGUGGGGAGCAAACAGGAUUAGAUACCCCGGUAGUCCAC
rnacentral:rRNA from 2 species